UUAUUCCUACGGGGGGCAGCAGUGAGGAAUAUUGGUCAAUGGGCGGAAGCCUGAACCAGCCAAGUCGCGUGAGGGAAUAAGGCCCUACGGGUCGUAAACCUCUUUUGCCGGGGAGCAAGGGCCGGGACGCGUCCCGGCCCGGAGAGUACCCGGAGAAAAAGCAUCGGCUAACUCCGUGCCAGCAGCCGCGGUAAUACGGAGGAUGCGAGCGUUAUCCGGGUUUAUUGGGUUUAAAGGGAGCGUAGGCGGGCUUUUACGUCAGCGGUAAAAAUUCGGGGCUCAACCCCGUCCGGUCGUUGAAACUG
rnacentral:rRNA from 1 species